rnacentral:rRNA from 1 species
AUUGAACGCUGGCGGCAUGCCUUACACAUGCAAGUCGAACGGCAGCACGGGAGCAAUCCUGGUGGCGAGUGGCGAACGGGUGAGUAAUGUAUCGGAACGUACCGUUUCAGUGGGGGAUAACGUAGCGAAAGUUACGCUAAUACCGCAUAUUCUGUGAGCAGGAAAGCAGGGGAUCGCAAGACCUUGCGCUGAUUGAGCGGCCGAUAUCAGAUUAGCUAGUUGGUGAGGUAAAGGCUCACCAAGGCGACGAUCUGUAGCGGGUCUGAGAGGAUGAUCCGCCACACUGGAACUGAGACACGGUCCAGACUCCUACGGGAGGCA